CUCUCUCUAACUUCUCUCUAGCCUCCCUAAACCCCUGCCAAGUCUACGGAACCUCCCUAGCAGGAGAAGAAAGCCCCGGAGCGCCCGACGACUCCGAGAAGAAAAGCUUUCGGCUCGGAAACGCUGCUCCAGCGAAGCCCGGUUUUUAAUAAAAACCCGCUGUGUUGAUAUGAAGUGACAUCACACUGAGAGAUUUAAAGAGAUGUAGAUCACUAGUGUAAAUAAUUGUAAAGUAGCAGAGGAUGAGAACAAGGAGAGUUCUUCUGAACAAACCAACGACCCAUUGAACUCUGAAUCUGUUGCUUCUAAUCAACCUCCCGUUGGUAAAUACAGACCAUCAUUUCAAGCUAAACAGAGUGUCUGUUGCAAUUGUGCGUGUGGGAAAAACAAGAGACAAGGCAAGGAUAUGCCACCAGGGGCAGGAAGAGACAACUCCACAGUGAAGAAAAGGACAUGUUUUCACUGUGGAACACCUGGACACAUUGCCAGAAGUUGUCCUAAUCGCGCGUAUGUUCCCUACUACGCACAAGGCCGGCAUAACGCGUCAAGAGGGAGACACUCCAAAAGAUACCCCUCAAGGUCACGUUCAGAUAUUGACGACUAGAACGCGCCGAAGGCCAAGAAUUCAACUCCCAAGGCCAAGAAUUUGAAUCCCAAGGGCAAGAAGGAAAUGUCAGCCAACAAGCCCAGUUCAAGAGAUACUACUGUGAAGCCAAGACUAGUUAGGUCAAAGUCAUCUCGGCAGUCGGCUUCAAGUUCCAAAUCAAGUAUUGAGCCACCCAUAGGAUCGAAAAACAAAUGGGUUAAACCCAACUACAAAUGGGUUCCAAAGGCUCACUCUCCCAAAUCUCUUAAUGCUUCUAACGUGUCUACAUCUUCUGUUUGUGACAAGCAGGAUAUGUCAUGGGAGAGAGUAUCGUGCGUCGAUGACAAAGGUUGAACCAGUUUCAAAAUGGACUGGGUUCCGAAGACCAACUAAUCCCGCUCUGUGCUGGAGCAGCUAUGGAGGCAUAUCAUCAAACUUCGGUUUGUUGGUAGUGGCUGCUCCUGACAUAUGAUUGGGGACAUCUCUCAACCGUACAACACUCAGAACAUUGUUUGAGAGCAUGUGUCCUUUUGCGAUCAAGGAAGAAAGGAAGAGAUCACUCAUGGGGUUAGUACAUAACAACAUGAAGAAUUUUCGGAUCUGUUCUGAGAUUAUGCGUGCUGUUCUCAGACCUUCUGGAUGCAAAUUCAAUCGGUGACUUACGGUUUGCGUUUUCUUCUCUAUACUCCUGAGUUUUUCUUAACCUGAUUCGCUUUAAAGACUAAUUUUUGUUUUAGGAUAGUUUAAAUUUGCGCAUUUACUUUCGUUUCUCUCCUAUGCACAAAUUUAGGGGGAGAAAUAAAAACAAAACAAAAAUUAGAAAAUUUAAAAAAAAAAUCCACAAACAUUAGAAAAUCAGAAAAUAAAAAAAUAUAUUGAUUAUGAGUCUGUGUUUGAGGGAGAUGUUUUGGGAAGUGAUAUUAUCAAGUGAUAACAGGCAACCUAAGUCUGCGUAACGUACCCGAAGUUGAAGGGUCUAUGCUCUGACUUGAUGCAUCGGUAGGAAUGAAAAAAUUUAAAUGGACUUGACUAGGGAGAGUUGAACUUAGGAAAUUUAUAGACUUGACAAAUCUUGACCUAGUUAGAUACGUUCAGCCUGACAAUACGACGCUCGGAUAGGUUGAGCAGGGAGAUAUAUAUGGGAAUCUACUCGUCACAUUAAUUGAACCCGUACUUGGAACCGUGGUUUAACUUUUCCUUGAUGUGCGGAUUCUGUCCUUAAUUCUGGUUGGAUGGGGCGACUGGUAAAUUCCGAUAAAUUAGGUCUGUAGAAUAUCAUUUUCUUUCUUUCUGUCUGUUAGCUAUAUGUUUUCUCCUUUGCGCGACUUCUAAUCCGACCUGGUACACAACAUAUGCAACUCUAUCUCUUUGCAGGAUAUAUAUAUAUAUAUAUAUAUAUAUAUAUAUAUAUAUAUAUAUAUGUGUGUGUGAAAUAUAUGUGUGAAAUACUUCUCAUCUGUUAGCCAUAUGCUGCCUCUUUUGCGCGACUUGUAAUCCGACCUGGUACACAGCAUAUGCAAGCUUCUUCUUCUCAACCCCUCUGAAGUAGUUAGCAAUAGAAUUCUGAAUCUCUUCUCUCUCUGAAUGGUUGUCUGCUCACCCGGUGUAAGGAGUACUCUGGAAGUUCUUGAUGGCUGGGGCAUAUCAGGAAGCGGGAAACACGUUCCAGUACACCUAAAAUUGAACUCAUACAGAUUGUCUGUAGAUCUCGCUGCUCAACUUAGGUGGACAACAAUAUCCCUGGUCGUCGUCAGAUGAAUGGUCUUUAAGAUAUAGUAUCUAAGAAAUUAGGAUCAGAUAUAAAUUUUAGGUUUUUAAGUUCACCUUGUCUUGUAACAAAUAGUAUGUCCUAAAUCUGUCACAAAUUUUUCGUGUUUAAGUGGACUACAAUACCGACGAUCGACCAGACAAAGAUGUGAAUAUGGAUGGUACCGACAAGUGGAUAAAGGUUGUCUAAAAACUUUGAUCCCAAAUCUCUCUUAAAGUUAGAUAUCAUUUUAUUUUUGUUAAACUUGUCAUAAUUUCUUCUAAUUUAAAUAUUAGGGGAGAAUUAAAAUUUAAAAUUAAUUAAAAAAAAAUAAAAAAAUUAAUUAAAAAAAUAAAAAAAUAAAAAAAAAAACAAAAAUUAAAAAUCCAAAAAUAGUGUUAUUUCUGUUUUAUUUCUUGUUCAGAAAAAUCAAAAAUCCAAAAAUAUUUUUGUUUCUAUUUUAAUUUUUGUGCUAAGUUUUCUUUUAGUUUUGUUUUUGUCUUGAAAAGUGAUUUCAGGUAUAGAUAAGACUCAUGGAGUUCGUGUUGAAGAUUUUUGAGCCAAAGCCUCGUCCGUGAGCAUUGAAGAAUUCGCAUUCGAAGGAGCAAGAAAUGAAGAUUAUUCUUUCAACAUUCAAUCCUUCAACCCCAGAAGCAAGGUGAAGCUGCAAUUGAAGAUUAUGUGACGGAUUGCAUUGAAGCCUCCUCAAUCAGUCUGCUUCUAUCUUUGUACCUGCUGAAGUGAUCCAGAAGAUUUGUUCUCUCUGAAGAUUCUCAAGUUGAAAGUGCCAUCUUUCAAGAAUCAGUACAAGAAGCCUCCUCACCCAAUGUGCGUUCAAUGCCAAAUUCUGAAAAAAACCUCAAGUGCUCAAGAUGAAGUCAUUCAUUGAAGAUUCAUAUGUUCCUCCUGAUGCUGUGAAGAAAUUGAAGAUAAAUGUUGAAGCCAAGCUCUCAUUGAAGAUUGACAAGAACAGCUAGCUACCUUUUAAGGGGAGCUUGUUGGGUCAUUAAGAAAAGAAAGCUAUAAAACAAGGGGGAGAUUGUUGGGUCAAAAUAUGGUUAUAGUUUACUUUUCUAGGCAAUUGUUUUUCUGUAAUAUUUAUGAAUUUUUAUGGCCUAGUUUACGGCUGAGUUUACGGCCAUAAACACCUUACGGCCGUAAACUCAUUUACGGCCCAUUUGUUUCCGGCCCAUAUUCAAGUAUAAAAAGAGGUGUUAGGGUGAGGAGUAAAGAUUGAUGAACACGAAGAGAGUUUACGGUCUAAAGAG